UAGAAGACAACAACAACAGAAAACGAAAAAGAAAAAAAAAAGGGUUGUCUGAAGAGAAAAAAUCGAUUCGACAUCAUAGAUCUGAUUCAAUCCUCCUUCGGAUCAGACAACCUCUAUUUCCAAAUUGAAAAACCCAGAGUAAGAUCCAUCAUCAAUCUGUCUUAAUGGAGUACCGGAUGUCGUCUUCAAUUGAUAAGAGAGGGAAAUCUAUAAACGAAUAUGGGUGUUCUUUAUAAGGAACUCGAAUGACUUCCACUUAACCAAAGAUAAGUAACCCUAAACCCAUUUCUUGAUUUGUAAAUACGUAUGACUUUUCUAUCUAAAAACUCUAAUCUUUUUGUUUUUUUAUAUUACCUGGUCAAGGUUAAAUUACUUUCAUUAAGAAGAAGCAUAGAGACAACAAUUGGAUUUAAUUUCAGUGUAAAACUUACCAUAUAGUUUUGCAUUUCUUUUUCCUUGCAAGUAGAGAAAUAUUUUUUUCUACAAUGGAUCACUAAGGAGAAAUAUGAGGAACACUAAAUCAAAGAUGUAUGAUUAUAGCUUUUGAGUGGAGCUUCGAGAUAUAUAAUCGAAUUGUCUUCUUUUAAAGG